CCUCUCUCUCACAAAUCUUGUCUCUGGCCCAUGGAUCCCGAUGGAGCACCAUGGAUCCCGAUGUGGAGCUCCACUGCGGCCAGAUCUGACCUGGGAGCGGCCAGAUCCGUGCGUCUCGAGCGACGCCACACCACAUCCUUCGUCCUCGCAGCCGCCGCCGAUCCCCUCCCUCAAACGCCGCCGCCCGUCGCGGCCGCCCCCGCCACCCCCCGUCGCGGGCAGGCGGGAGGAGCCCUGCCCGGCCAUGGCGACACCGCCGGCGGCUUCCUCCUCCCCCUCACCUUCUCUCCCUCUCCCAAGGGAGGGAAGGGAAUGGAGGGGAUCCGGCGGCAAGGGGGGGCAGCGCCCAGAUCCGCAGCCGCACCGGCGGGCCGCCGUCCCUCGAGAUCGUCCAUGGAGGUCUGACCCGGCUGCAGCCAUGGACUGAGACGCCCGAAACCCUAGCUAACCGUGGAGGUCCGACGCCUCAACCUCCAAGGAAAGGACGCGCGCCGACUGCAGGCCAUCUCCGGCGACCUCCGACCAUGGUUGCUCGGAUCUGGACCAGCUGCUGCUCCUACUGCUUCAGGUGGACAAGGACGAGCCCUCCCUCAUGGCUGCUGCGGCUGCCUACUCCCUCCUCCUACCCCCUGGCCUGGUGUGAUUUUCUUCUUCAAUAAAAUACAUAGAAGCAAAUCAGAUUGGUCGCAAAUAUCAUGCUACUUCAGCAGAAAUUAUGUUUUCCAACUGAAAUCAUUUUUUGCUUACUAGGCGCUAGCUAUCCCUGACAACAAGGAAAGAGAUGCAGGCAAGAGGAAGAAAGCCUCUCCCAAGCUCUGUCUAUGCGAUGCACGGGCAAUCCGGAAACUGUCAAGGAGGUGUCGAAUGAUGAAUAUAUUCAGAUACCGAGACAUGUUCUAAAACGUGUUUUGGCAGGCAUUCUGGAUCAUACUAAGAUACUUCGGAGAGAUGUCCCAGAUUUAUUCUUUUGAAUUUCACUAAUUUCUUUCCAUGACUUCAGAUUCACCAGUGAUGGGGCUGCCGCCAACUUGGGGCUGCUCAAGAACAGUGACUCUACAGGAGGGGGAUGGAGUUUCGGAAUCUCCUGUGCUAUUGGGAGCGACAGUUCCACAAUGAGAUGGUCUUUCGUCACCUCUGAGUAGGAGGAUGUCCAAGGCUGGGAUCGUUCGUCACCACUGAGCUACGGCUGAGAUAAUACUAUUGCUCAAUCCAGAUCUGGAUAUCUCAUCCUGAACAUUUGAAAUGCCGAGUACUCCAUGAAAGCUUGCCUAGCCGCUUUCGUGCAACAUUAUAUCUUUGGACGUUUGCACUUCCGCGGCUCUAGACAUGAGCUUCCUUAUAUGGUUGCGAACCGGAUGUGCCGUCGACGACGAUGGCGAGUUUGGAUUGGGAAUGCGAAGAUGAGAAGAUAGUUGGGGACGAAGAAGGUAUAAAAUCGAAAAUAUCAUCUGAUGUGCGUGAGGAUCCUAAUGGUACAUGCUUGAUGCGAUCGGUGCUAACCUAAUAAGAUAUAUGCGGUGGCGCGAGGUAGGGGCGGCAAUGAGGCGGUUGU